rnacentral:rRNA from 1 species
GUGGAUAAUUAAGUCAGAGGUGAAAUCUUGCAGCUCAACUGUAAAAUUGCCUUUGAAACUGGUUAUCUUGAGUUAUUAUGAAGUAGUUAGAAUAUGUAGUGUAGCGGUGAAAUGCAUAGAUAUUACAUAGAAUACCAAUUGCGAAGGCAGAUUACUAAUAAUCAACUGACACUGAUGGACGAAAGCGUGGGUAGCGAACAGGAUUAGAUACCCUGGUAGUCCACGCCGUAAACGAUGGUUACUAGCUGUUUGGACUUCGGUCUGAGUGGCUAAGCGAAAGUGAUAAGUAACCCACCUGGGGAGUACGUUCGCAAGAAUGAAGCUCAAAGGAAUUGACGGGGGCCCGCACAAGCGGUGGAGCAUGUGGUUUAAUUCGAUGAUACGCGAGGAACCUUACCAAUCACUAGUGAAUUCGCGGCCGCCUGCAGGUCGACCAUAUGGGAGAGCUCCCAACGCGUUGGAUGCAUAGCUUGAGUAUUCUAUAGUGUCACCUAAAUAGCUUGGCGUAAUCAUGGUCU